GACGAACGCUGGCGGCGUGCUAAACACAUGCAAGUCGAACGGAAAGGCCCUGCUUUUGUGGGGUGCUGGAGUGGCGAACGGGUGAGUAACACGUGAGUAACCUGCCCUUGACUUUGGGAUAACUUCAGGAAACUGGGGCUAAUACCGGAUAGGAGCUCCUGCUGCAUGGUGGGGGUGGGAAAGUUUCGGCGGUUGGGGAUGGACUCGCGGCUUAUCAGCUUGUUGGUGGGGUAGUGGCUUACCAAGGCUUUGACGGGUAGCCGGCCUGAGAGGGUGACCGGCCACAUUGGGACUGAGAUACGGCCCAGACUCCUACGGGAGGCAGCAGUGGGGAAUAUUGCACAAUGGGCGGAAGCCUGAUGCAGCAACGCCGCGUGCGGGAUGACGGCCUUCGGGUUGUAAACCGCUUUCGCCUGUGACGAAGCGUGAGUGACGGUAAUGGGUAAAGAAGCACCGGCUAACUACGUG
rnacentral:rRNA from 1 species